rnacentral:rRNA from 1 species
UACGAAGGGGGCUAGCGUUGCUCGGAAUCACUGGGCGUAAAGGGUGCGUAGGCGGGUCUUUAAGUCAGGGGUGAAAUCCUGGAGCUCAACUCCAGAACUGCCUUUGAUACUGAGGAUCUUGAGUUCGGGAGAGGUGAGUGGAACUGCGAGUGUAGAGGUGAAAUUCGUAGAUAUUCGCAAGAACACCAGUGGCGAAGGCGGCUCACUGGCCCGAUACUGACGCUGAGGCACGAAGCAUGGGAGCAAC